rnacentral:sRNA from 1 species
GCGGCCGCGGACCUCUUCCUGGUGGGCGGGGACAAGCCUCUGGUGCUGCACCAAGACAGUAGCAUCUUGGAGUCAAGGGACCUGCGCCUAGAAAAGCGCACCUUGUUUCGGCUGGAUCUUGUUCCAAUUAACCGGUCAGUGGGACUCAAGGCCAAGCCCACCAAGCCCGUCACGGAGGUGCUACGGCCCGUGGUGGCCAAGUACGGCCUGGACCUCAGUGGCCUGCUGGUGAGGCUG